UACGAAGGGGGCGAGCGUUGUUCGGAAUUACUGGGCGUAAAGGGCGCGUAGGCGGCCGAGCAAGUUAGAUGUGAAAGUCCUGGGCUUAACCUGGGGACUGCAUUUUGAUACUGCUUGGCUUGAAUUCGGGAGAGGAUAGCGGAAUUCCCAGUGUAGAGGUGAAAUUCGUAGAUAUUGGGAAGAACACCGGUGGCGAAGGCGGCUAUCUGGACCGACAUUGACGCUG
rnacentral:rRNA from 1 species